CGGGGCGUAGUUCAGAUGGCUAGAACGUUGGGCUGGGGGUCCAAAGGUCGCAGGUUCGAGUCCUGUCGCCCCGA
rnacentral:tRNA from 1 species